rnacentral:rRNA from 1 species
CGCAUCUGUGCAUGCAGCAUAUCAAUAAGCGGAGGAAAAGAAACUAACAAGGAUUCCCCUAGUAACGGCGAGUGAAGCGGGAAGAGCUCAAAUUUGAAAUCUUAAAGGGUUUCCCUUUACGAAUUGUAGUUUAAAGAAGUGUUUUCUGUUGAGGUUUUGGUAAAAGUUCUUUGGAAUAGGACAUCAUAGAGGGUGAGAAUCCCGUAUUUGACCUUUACUUUCAACUUUGUGAUACACUUUCAAAGAGUCGGAUUGUUUGGGAAUGCAGUCCAAAAUGGGUGGUAAAUUUCAUCUAAAGCUAAAUAUUGGCGAGAGACCGAUAGCGAACAAGUACCGUGAGGGAAAGAUGAAAAGAACUUUGAAAAGAGAGUUAAGCAGUACGUGAAAUUGUCAAAAGGGAAGCGUUUGACACCAGUGUUGUUUUUCUGAAAAUCAAUUAAAGAACUGUUUAUGCUAAGCUGUUUAGACUUUAUCAGCUAACUGUUUAGUUUUGAGCUUUUCCUUUAAUGCACUUUUCAGUUAACAAGUCAACAUCAAUUUCUUUUGCUGUAAAAAAGCUUGAGGAAGGUGGCUUGAGAUUCGUCUUAAGUGUUUAUAGCCUCUUGCCUAUGCAGUCGGAGAGAUUGAGGUCUGCAGCGUAGAUCCUUCGGGGCUAAAUGCAUUUGUGCUAAGUUAUAGCAUUUUAUAGACAACUUGUUGACUAUGAUUUGUCUUGUAGCUUACUCGCUUAUGUUAUUUUACCUACGCUUAGGAUGUUGAGUCAUCACACAUCUCU